rnacentral:rRNA from 1 species
AACCCUUCGACCUUAGUUGCCAGCAUUCAGUUGGGCACUCUAAGGUGACUGCCGGCUAAAAGUCGGAGGAAGGUGGGGAUGACGUCAAAUCAUCAUGCCCCUUAUGACCUGGGCUACACACGUGCUACAAUGGGCGGUACAAAGGGUCGCGAACCCGCAGGGGGAGCCAAUUCCAAAAAGCCGCUCUCAGUUCGGAUUGCAGGCUGCAACUCGCCUGCAUGAAGCCGGAAUCGCUAGUAAUCGCGGAUCAGCAUGCCGCGGUGAAUACGUUCCCGGGCCUUGU